AUUUUUCUUAUACGGAUCAGAUUAGGAUAACACCUUCCCUCUCCAUGCGCUAAUUUGGAGGAGCCAUGAGCUGACCUUAUCUUUUUUUUUUUUAUUAAGCUCAGCCAUAAUCUUUGUUCCCUAACUCCUCAAGUGUACAGCAAAGAACUGCCCAAGGAAAACAAAUUGGAUACUCGUAGUUCCAAAACCACACGUAGCUUGUCCGUACCACAUAGAUGGAAUCACAAACCUUGUUUGCAUUCCCUUCUACAUUAUUCCUCCCAAAAUCGUAAUCUUCCAUCAGCUCACUUCUCAUUCACUCUCAUUCUGACCCGGCCUUAGUUCAACUACUGAGGAGAUUACCAUCUCAAUUCAUUCUUCAUUUUUCUCUGGUUUGGCAGAGGAACUAUCUUGAGGAGAUGGGUAGUUCGAGUUCUCGCAAGGAGGAGGGUGAGGGUACCACUCCUCUGUUGGUUGAUGCCUUUGGACCGGUUGUGAGCACCUUGGUGUGCACAAAGAGCUGAUGAGUGUAGGCCAUUGACACUUGCAAGCUUAGGACUCAAUUUUAGCUUGGACCGUAGCUCUCUUAUGAAGUUGUGGGACUGUUUUGGUGGAAUUAUAUUGUGUAUCAAACCUGUAUGGAUUGAGCUGGACCAGUAUUCCUUUCCCCUUGGGGGCAAACGGCAAGCAGUGUAGGAGAAGACAAAAACCAUGUUCUGCAGAAUGGGAAAGCGAGGAAACUCAUACUGCACUCAAUUUCUGCCUCUAGUCGACUUGGGAAUUUUAAGUGUCUACAAGUAGAUGGUCACCAACCUCAAGAAGACUGGAUGGAAAUUGAGAUGUAUAUAUGUAUUGGUUAAAAAUUAAAGACACGAGGAGGACGAAAGAGCAUAUGAGAACGUGGUUAUAUGGAUAAUGGCUGUUAAUUGCUGCUGUUUGGAUUUUUGCUGUUACUGUUUGCUUGAUGGAUGACUGUAUUAUUUUGGGAAAUUUGGAUUACUGUUGGAACUAUGACUUAGCUACUGUUUUAAGACUUUUAUGAUCAGUUAUUACUUUGGAAAAAUUCUGAAAACGU